rnacentral:rRNA from 1 species
AGUGAACGCUGGCGGUAGGCCUAACACAUGCAAGUCGAACGGCAGCACAGGAGAGCUUGCUCUCUGGGUGGCGAGUGGCGGACGGGUGAGGAAUACAUCGGAAUCUACUCUGUCGUGGGGGAUAACGUAGGGAAACUUACGCUAAUACCGCAUACGACCUACGGGUGAAAGCAGGGGACCUUCGGGCCUUGCGCGAUUGAAUGAGCCGAUGUCGGAUUAGCUAGUUGGCGGGGUAAAGGCCCACCAGGGCGACGAUCCGUAGCUGGUCUGAGAGGAUGAUCAGCCACACUGGAACUGAGACACGGUCCAGACUCCUACGGGAGGCAGCAGUGGGGAAUAUUGGACAAUGGGCGCAAGCCUGAUCCAGCCAUGCCGCGUGGGUGAAGAAGGCCUUCGGGUUGUAAAGCCCUUUUGUUGGGAAAGAAAUCCAGCUGGCUAGUACCCGGUUGGGAUGACGGUACCCAAAGAAUAAGCACCGGCUAACUUCGUGCCAGCCGCCGCGGUAA